rnacentral:tRNA from 1 species
GCAUUGGUGGUUUAGUGGUAGAAUUAUUGCCUUCCAUGCAUAAGACCUGGGUUUAAUUCCCGGCCAAUGCA